rnacentral:rRNA from 1 species
AUCGUGUGUACUAGAUUGAUUAAAAAUUAUUUUUAGUGGUUUAUUGUACCUUUUGUAUCAUGAUCUUUUGAGUGUAAGUACAGUAUUGUAUGUCCCGAAAGAUUCACGAUUUUAUUUAAUCUAAUCAACUGGUUGAGUUUAUUGGCUAGAGGGGUUAUAGGUUAUUAAGUAAAUAUCUAGAAAGAUUAAAUAAGCAGUGAUAAAUUAUCCGUGUGGUCUAAUAUCUGGUUAGCAACUUGUUUAUCGAAUUAUGUGGAGGAUUGAUUGUGUUGAUCUUCUUGAACAGAGAUAAAUUAAUGAUUAAAUUGUUGUCUUAGAUUAAGAUUGUCUUUGGGUUAUGAAGUUAUUUACAUAGCUUAUGUUAAUUUAAGGUGAUUUAGAUCUUGUGUAUUUAGUAGUUGUUCAUAUAAUUGGUUAUUGGGAUGAUGAAAGAAUAAGUAGGUUAAUAUAGUUUGUUGAAAAUAAUUAUUUUUUUUCUCGGUGAUGCUUUCGACUGUUUAUUAAAAACAUUUCUAUUUGGUGAUAUUUAAAUAGUAUGACCUGCCCAAUGAAAUUUAACAUGAAUGGCCGCAGCUUUAGCUGUGCUAAGGUAGCAUAAUAUAUAGUUUUUUAAUUGGAGACUUGUGAAUGGUUCAACGAAAGGUGUCUAAGAUGGUAAUUGUUUCUGAAUUUAAUUUAGUGGUGAGGAAUCCAUUAUUAAGAUAUAAGACGGAAAGACCCCAAGAGUUUUACUAUCUAUAAUAGUUUUAUUUGGGGUAAAUGUGUAUGAUUCAUUUAUUUUUAGAUCCUACAGGAUAGAGGAUAAAAUUACCUUGGGGAUAACUGAGUAAAGAGCAGUGAGAGAUCGCAUUAAGCUGUUUGUUACUACCUCGAUGUUGGCUUGUUGUACCGAUUUGGUGUAGAGGCUAAAUUUGGAAGUCUGUUCGACUUUUAAUUCUUCAUGAGCUGAGUUAAGACCGGUGUAAGCCAGGUUGGUUCUUAUCUAUAUAUGAUUCUAGCUAGUACGAAAGGAGGGUUGGGGUAUACUGUUGUAUAAAGUAGUUAGAGGAUAUAGACUUUAGUAAUAGAGGUUGAUUAA